rnacentral:rRNA from 1 species
UACGUAGGUGACAAGCGUUGUCCGGAUUUACUGGGCGUAAAGAGCGCGCAGGCGGUCGAUCAAGUCGAGUGUGAAAGCCCCCGGCUCAACUGGGGAGGGUCAUUCGAUACUGAUCGACUCGAAGGCAGGAGAGGGUAGUGGAAUUCCCGGUGUAGUGGUGAAAUGCGUAGAUAUCGGGAGGAACACCAAUGGCGAAGGCAGCUCGCUGGGACGUGACUGACGCUGAGACGCGAAAGCGUGGGGAGCAAACAGG